GAGGAGUGUGAGCAUGCUGAAAAACUCAUGAAGCUGCAGAACUAGAGGGGCGGUCGCAUCUUUUUGUAGGACAUCAAGAAACCAGAUCGUGAUGAUUAGGAGAAUGGGAAGAACGUGGUGUAGGGAAAGAUGCUCAGAGCCGU